AUUGAACGCUGGCGGCAGGCCUAACACAUGCAAGUCGAGCGGAUGAAGGGAGCUUGCUCCUGGAUUCAGCGGCGGACGGGUGAGUAAUGCCUAGGAAUCUGCCUGGUAGUGGGGGAUAACGUCCGGAAACGGGCGCUAAUACCGCAUACGUCCUGAGGGAGAAAGUGGGGGAUCUUCGGACCUCACGCUAUCAGAUGAGCCUAGGUCGGAUUAGCUAGUUGGUGGGGUAAAGGCCUACCAAGGCGACGAUCCGUAACUGGUUUGAGAGGAUGAUCAGUCAACGGGGAAAGGAAAAACGGGCCCGGACCCAAGGGGAGGGAGGAGGGGGGAAUUUGGGAAAAGGGGCGAAAGCCUGAUCCAGCCAUGGCGGGGGUGUGAAGAAGGUUUUCGGAUUUGAAAGCAUUUUAAGUUGGGGGGAAGGGCAGUAAGUUAAUACCUGGCUUUUUUGACGUUACCAACAAAAUAAGCACCGGCAAACUUCGU
rnacentral:rRNA from 1 species